rnacentral:misc_RNA from 1 species
AAGAGACGUUGCCCUUCGGGGUAUACCUCCCACCCUUUGUUUAUUAUACCUUUGUUGCUUUGGCGGGCCCGUCCUCGGACCACCGGCUUCUGCUGGUCAGUGCCCGUCAGAGGACCUAAAACUCUGUUUGUUAAUAUUGUCUGAGUACUAUAUAAUAGUUA